rnacentral:tRNA from 1 species
GAGGGUAUAGCUCAGUGGUAGAGCGUGCAGGAGGUCCUGGGUUCAAUCCUCAGUACCUCCA